AUUUCAGUCAAAGAAGGUCCAAUAUCUCUUGCCUGCUCCACUCUAGUCUCAUGAAUUUUUGUUGCAUCGUCCUCAUUUUUUAU
rnacentral:sRNA from 1 species